AUGAUAGACCGUAGACGCCUACCCGAGGCCGGUGCAGGCAGUAAUGGCGCCCGCAGCGAGCCAGAGCAGCUGGACUCACCCGCCACAGCGGACCAAAGCACGGGAGGGGGCGAUCUGGGAGGAGAUGGGUGCAGCGCGCGGAGGCGCGCCGCAGCGGAGUCAGCAGAUCCGGGUGGGUUCCAGCGGUGCUUGGGGGCAGGGGAGUUGGGGGUGUCCGGCGUGCCUGGAGUAGGCGGCGCCGCGUGGGUGGUCGCCGCUCCCGGAGUGGGAGGAGGCGAGGAGAGAUCCAUAUAUGUCAUAUCGUGGAACCAUUUCACUGCUGGUAGUAAUGCAUAUCACUAG
rnacentral:rRNA from 1 species